CCAGCUGCCGGUCCUGGAACACCCAGAACUGGGGCCCUGCAGGGCGGAGGCCGGGAGGUCAGGGUGGGCUCCCUGCGCCGGCCCCAGAGCACCCCGCCGCCCGCCCCACUCACCGCUGAAGAGGAGGAUUCGGCCGUCUCGGUGCCGAGCAUAGGCGGCCUGCACCACCGUCACCUGGGCGGGCAGCCCCUCCCAGAAGCGGUGCAGCCGCGCGGGCCGCGGGGACACCAGCUGUCCGGAGGGCUGGAGGCGCCAGAACCAGGGGCCUGCAGGGGACAAAGGGGUUCGCAGGAAGACAUGAGACAGCAGGAGGUCUCCUCCCCCAGGGUGUGUGGCUGGGUGGGGAGGGGUCCCAUCUGGAAAUCAAGAGCGCUAUGGAUCUAGGGUGACCAGCCCAUCCUGGCCUGCCUGGGACUUUUCCCUUUUUAGCACUGAAAGUGCCAGGGCCCUGCCUGGUGGCUCCGACCUGUAAUGCUAGCACAUUCGGAGGCUGACACCGGAGAAUCACUUGAGCCAGGAGAUUGAGACCAGCCUGGGCAAUAUUGUGAGACUCCAUCUCUACAAAAUAAAAAAUAAAUUACUAGCAAGGCGUGGUGGCAUGUGCCUGUGGUCACAGCUACGAGGGAGGCUGAGUUGGGAGGAUCGCUUGAGCCCCGUAUUUAGAGGCUGCAGUGAGUCAUGAUCAGACCACUGCACUUGGUGCCAGGCAACAAAGCAAGACCCUGUCUCAACAAGAAGAAAAAAAAGUUGCACUUCCAGGGUAAGCCCACAGCCCCAGUGGUCACUGAAGUGGGCAGGAAGCCAACAUACGUGAGGCCACGUGAAAUGACUCACCUUUGAAGAAGAAAGUUUCCCCUCGGAUGUUGGCGAUGGCAUCAAAAUUGCCCUCACAUCGAUCAGGGAUGGGGAAGGACGGGCUGGGGAGGAAAGGAGAGAGUUGCUGCAGGCCAUCGCGGUCAUCCUGAGACAGGCGGUACUUGUCAGGGUCGCCCACCGGACCC
rnacentral:antisense_RNA from 1 species